UGGGGAAUCUUGGACAAUGGGCGCAAGCCUGAUCCAGCCAUACCGCGUGAGUGAAGAAGGCCUUCGGGUUGUAAAGCUCUUUCAGACGGAAAGAAACGGUUACGGCUAAUACCCGUGACUAAUGACGGUACCGUAAGAAGAAGCACCGGCUAACUACGUGCCAGCAGCCGCGGUAAUACGUAGGGUGCGAGCGUUAAUCGGAAUUACUGGGCGUAAAGCGUGCGCAGGCGGUUUGGUAAGACAGAUGUGAAAUCCCCGGGCUUAACCUGGGAACUGCAUUUGUGACUGCCAGACUAGAGUGUAGCAGAGGGGGGUAGAAUUCCACGUGUAGCAGUGAAAUGCGUAGAUAUGUGGAGGAAUACCGAUGGCGAAGGCAGCCCCCUGGGCUAACACUGACGCUCAUGCACGAAAGCGUGGGGAGCAAACAGGAUUAGAUACCCUAGUAGUCCCUGAGCGGGCUGGCAAGGCGCAU
rnacentral:rRNA from 1 species